rnacentral:lncRNA from 1 species
UCCAUCAUUUACUCCCGUAUAACAUUACUGGUCUUAAAAAAAAUUCUAUAGAAAUUGCCUUCCAUUUUGGUAGUUAUCCUCAUAUGGCAUAACACUCCAGUAGUACUCACUUAGCGAAGAAACAAACAAUCUAGUAGCACUUCUCCAUUUCAACUGUCCUAUUUUAAUUUUCUGUGCCACAGUUUAUGGAUUGUACCAUUCUCUUGGAACAUCAAAUCUAGACAUCAGAAGUUUUUGCAUUUGGCACUAUAAUCUC